rnacentral:sRNA from 2 species
CCUUUGGGGAGUAGCCGAUCCUCGACCCUGACAUCGAGGAGGCCUGCAUCAACAAACUCGACACCACCGUGUCGUGGUGCAGGCGACCGACUCCGGUUGGCGAGACCAAGGGUAUGCCGUGUGCUCGAGGUCGGGCGCGCGCGGCAUGCCCCUGGCCAAUCGCCCGACCCG